GGAAAGUCUAAGAGCCAGGAGUCAGGGAGGACGAGAGUGAAGCGGUAUUCUCUGGACAUGGCAGGAUGCUGCACUGUGGUCCCAUAGCAGCUGUGGUCGCCUGCCUAGGAUCAGGGCAGUCGACGUUCAGCAUGAGCUCAAGGGAUAGAUUCUGCGCGCCCCACGAGUCUGUGACAUCAUCAACCACCAAGUGGCUUGGAGUGUGAAUGGCUGAAGGAGGAAAUUGUCGUUGGCGAGAUAGAUGUCUAUUAGUAAGAAGAGACCUGAAACCCUGCGUGCAAGUGAGAAUGGCCUUAGACUCGGCAAUUAUCCACAGAAAACGUGUACCAAUUUGUCUCUGAUAGCAGGUAAGUCGGUAAAUGAUGGCACAUGUGGGCGCAGGAAACAGAUUGUCCUUGAAAGAGCACCCUAGGCAUAAGUCAUAUCAGGCAUGAAGGAAGGCAGGUCAGUGAAGACAGCUCCUUCAGUGUGUAAGAGGAGGCGAGCGUAGCUAGCGCUCUCUCUCUCUCUCUCUCUCUCUCUCUCUCUCUCUCUCUCUCCCUCCCCCCCCUCUCUCUCUCAGGACUGAGGAGGGUAAGUAAGGAGGGUUUCAGGCCUGUGAUUCAAGGCUCCAGGGUGUGAUAUCCUCUCAGAGCGACAACACAUUGGAUGGUGAGUCAUUCUUCAGCAUCUGGCAGAAAGACCGUGAGAGGAGAAUCAGCAAAGAAGGAAAUCUAUAGAGCAAUAAUUACCGUCAGGUGCUGGUGAGACUCGGACAGCACAAAGCCUGUUCCAGUUGUCGGUUACUCUUCUCAAGAUGGCUCAGAUACAUGGCCAGUUGGCUAGUCCUGGGUUCCGACUAGAAACCCAGUGGGGGCUGCCAUCUGGGAUCCUCUUUGCCAUGGGGACUGCUUGGACAUCCUCACACCUUGGCUGCUAGCUCCAACUGUGUGUCCCAAGAAACAAGCAGCCUGGGUCCAGAAACUAGGACAUUAUGGUGUUUUCUAUAUCCUAUUAUUCAGGCAGCCAUGGAAUUCCUGAAAUUUCAAGAAAAUGAAAAAUAGACUGCUCCUCUUAAAGGACCAUCAACCACGGCACAGCAUUCUGAUUCACCACACACCUCAAUACUUGGCGCACGGAAUUCUAUUCUUUGCAGCCUUUUUAUAAACAAAAAUGGUUGAGAAUAAGCUAAAUGUCCUUACUGUGGCCCUAAAUAAGUAAAUUAACUUAAUUUUGUAAAGCAAAACACUGCAUACCCAUAAAAAUGAAAUAGAAAUAUUUUCGUGUAGUAUGGAAAUCAUACACAAAAAUCCAAUUUUUUUGUUCUAGGUUAAUUAGCUGUAGUUCAUAUGAUACAAAAGUCACUGAGGCAUUUUGAAACACAAAACCCAGUGAAUCCCAGUAUAUUGGAUUCAGUGUCCAGUUAUUAUCCCCAUCUAAUUCUAGAACCCAGGCAUCAUUUCUGAAAGAAUCCCAUUACACAGUAGGCCGUCGUCCCCCAUUCUGCCCUCUGUCUGGCCCUAAUACUGGUCUUCUGAAGUCAGGACAGGAAAGUCUAAGGCUGUUCCAUUCCUUGCUUCCCUAAGGGCCGCUAGCAACAGUAGCUUAGAAGCAGUUUGUCAUCUUCAACCCACUUCAGCACAGGAAGAGAGGGUCAAACCUUCAGAGGGCCUCCGUAUCCACAAGUGUCCCAGAGGUCUCCAUCACACAGCUGUCACAUUGUCACCCGGUGCCUUUAGAAAUCAUAAGUUAAACAUCUAGCAGAGUUAGCAUUGCACACAGAUGAGUAUAGGCAGUGAGGAGUUUGGGGUUUGAUUCUCAUUAUUGCUGUAAUACAUCAGUUACAGCCUGUGAACCCCACUUAGUCAACCAAUGUCAUAGAUUUUUUUCAAAAACAGUGAGUCUCAAUUUAAUACCUGCAAUUUAAUAGGCAUGGAAUUUACAUAUAUUUGGCUUUCCUUAAAGUAUGAGGGGAGGAGGCAAGCUCCAGCCAUUGGCAACAAUCAGGUGGGGAUGACAGGUGGGAGCUCUUCUGAAAAAGUCACACACACACACACACACACACACACACACACACACACACGAGUGCACCAUGACACUUGGGUGGCCUGUUUGACUAAGGAAUUAGCUGCCUGGCCCCCAACAGCGCUACACAUCAGGGUCCUCUGUGGAGAGUGGUCAGAAGCUCACCUUUUACCAUGCUUCAAGCACAAAGUUCUCUAAAUACAAAACUGUGUCAUUAAGUGUUUGUUUGUUUACAACAAAUAGUCUUGAUUUCUCAGCACUCGAAAUGAAGAAUGGUUGCUAUCCCAAAAGGUCCAGCAAAAAUUAAAAGGUUUCAGAGUGUGUGGACAAUAACUGAGUCUGACUAUUUUGAAGGAGAUCCAGAUACUUCUGUGUCGCAUGGCGAAUGGCCAGUACAUGGUGGGGUCUCAUCAGUACACACGAGCUCACUUGCAGUAUGACCAGAAUGAAGAGCUAUAAGAGAGGAGUAAUUCCAGCAACACAAAUAUUUCAGAAGUAUGACUCUGUGUGUAUGUUUAGAUCUGCCUCUCAAACAGACAGACUCUCUCCUGACAGUGACUACUGAGAAAGGGGUAUUUGCCAUAGAGAAAGGCUCUGAGAAAGCACAGCGGCUCUGAAUGAUUCCACAGAACGGGACGGCUGAAGGUUCAGGCUCUUAAAGCCAGGUAGGGAAAGAUCCAACUGAAUCAUGGGAACGCUCUUUCCGAGGAGCAGUGGACUCCCUUGGAAAGCGUAUACUUUGAGAAAUGUGAAGAAAUAAGGGCGAGGUCCCCAAAGCGAGCUCAAAAACAUCAGACCAGAGAGCGAGAACCCGUAAAGGGGGCGAGGGGCAAGUCCGUGUGAGUGAAUUUCUGAUAAAGGGAGAGGGGCAAAUUCAAAUUCCUGCGACUGAGUUUCUUGAUGGAGAAAUGCAGCUGUCAAUAUGGACCAAAAGCGAUAUUACUGUGCACCCCUGUAUGCCUGUGUUUGACUGAAGGUUUCAGCAUCAAUGGUGUGACAAGCACACGCCAUUGUGCUUUGGCAUCACCUCCAGAGGCAGACCCCUGACUGGAACACCACAGACAACAAAGCUGGGUAGCUGUCAGCAGUAGCUCUCCGUCUCUCCAAGAUCACUUGAGAUUCUUUAGCAUGGAAUUAUAAUUAGCACAUCAAAAUGGUUUUUCUUUGGUGAAAUCAAUGACUUAAUUAGCAUAAAAAAUUUUAAUUAUGUUUUAAAUGUUAAAUUAAAUUGUCAUCAAUAAAUGUGAACUGGUUGGAAUAUUACAUAAAUGAGUAAUCUCAGCUGCAUUUUGCCCCCCAAAAAUGAUAUGCUGUAGCCCUAACCCCCAGUGCCUUAUUGGGUCAGCUAUGCCCUGUUUGGGGAAAGUGGGGCAUUCCCGAGGGACUCCUAAGAAGUAGCACAUAGAACAAGUGACACAUGAAGACAGAGGUUGGAUAAGCCGCAGUAGAGCCAGGAGUGCUUGGGGACUACAGACCACCACCAGACUUCCGCCCAGUUCUAUGUGCUUCCUGUACUGCUGGCAUUUUAAUUACACCUUCUAGGCUACAGAAACACACAAGGAGACAUUUCUGCUGCUUUUAAGACAUCCAGUUUGUGAAAAUUUGUUAUUUUCAUACUAACAAUAAGGUCUACAAUUCGUGAGAGGACGACAGCCUAAACCCUUAUGGGUAACAUUUAUAUUAGUCAAGAUGCACACACACACACACACACACACACACACACACACACCACAGACACAUAUACACACACAGACUCUACAUAGAGACACACAUACAGAACAUACAGACUUACAUAUAUAAGAUACACACAGAGAGAUAAACGGACACACAGACACACAGACAUACAGACUCGCAUACACACAGAGAGAGACACACAAACACUCACACAUUCAUGUACUUACCAACACACACACACACACACACACACACAGAAACACACACACAGAUGCACAGACACACAGACAUACACACAUACACUCACAUAUUAAGACACGGAAGGGAUGAUAAUUUUUAAGAUCUGCAGAAGGAACUGGUAAACUUUAUCAAGUCCCAGGAACACUGCUGGGAUAGUUGAGUCCAACAGACUAGAAGACACAGGAAGAGGCGACGUUUCAGCUCCAGUACAGACAGAGAGUGGCCACCAUCUUAGCUACCUCCUGCCAGGAGGAAGAAUCUCCCCGCUCUUGAAGGAGAGGCAGCACUCGUGCAGUCAGGCCUUCAACUGAUGGGGUGGGGCCCUUGCACACUGAGAGAGGCAAUGUGCUUACUCGGUCUGCUGAUUUCGGUGCCAACCAGACCCCAAAGCACCCUUACAGGAACUCUCAGGAUAACAGCAGGACAAGCUUCGGGACAGUCUAAGGUCAAUCCCACUUGACAAAAUCAACUGUCACAAGAUUCAACCAGACCUUUAAGGAGUCUUAUGUUCAAUACCAGUGCACUGAUGGCUGCCUGUGCCACCUCUUGGUCCAGAGGGCUCCUGUUCCUUGCCUGGCCAUGUUUGCUUGGGUAAGCUGCUUGUAGAACAUGAGGCAGUAACAACCAAGAGGGAAACACCACCAUUCUCAAAUGUGUAAGUUUGUGAUCUGCGUUACCAUACAUGGUAAUGAGCGUGUUUAGUAAAUGUUGCAGCAGAAUUUGAGGUGAGAGUCACUUUCAGUUGUUUGGGAAGUAAGUUUGGAGAGAAAGUAAACUCUAAGCUUUCUUAAUCUCCUUUUGUAUUACAUUAUCCACCAAACAAAUGUGUGACUGGAGAGCCACGCGGCUGGGAAGGGCUUCAGAAAGUGUGUUCCAGCCAGCUUCCCUGACAUCCUGAAGGUAAAGCAACCCCAGUUGGCAUCCGGGCCAUAUCACUAUUUACUAACAAUUAUCAGCAUUCUCAACCUGUAGAGGGUUAAUGUGGGCUUCCCUAAGUUGGGUCAAGUAAAAAUAUUCAACUCAAGUAUAGUUGAGUUAAAAUAGUAUUAAAAUGAUGUUGUUGUUGUUGUUGUUGUUGUUGUUGAUGAUGAUGAUGAUGGUGAUGAUGGUGGUGAUGAUGAUGAUGGUGGUGGUGGUGAUGAUGAUGAUGAUGAUGAUGCAGCCAAUGUAUUUACACUAAUGUCUUAGGCUCAUGAGACUCAUAGAAAGCUCAGGUGAGGAAAAGAUGUAUUCUAAUAAGCUUUAGGUUUGUUUUGGUUCUGAUGACUAAUUGUCUUGUACUGCUAUUACCCUAUUAAAGAUUCAGAUGAAUAAAAAUAUUAAAAAGACACUUGGCUUCAAGUUUAAAUGAUGUUUUACUAGCAUGAAUGGCUGAGGCAGGGGUGAAUAAAUAAUAAGAAAGGCCAGAGGAAAGAAAGGCUAGCUUAGAUUUCUGCCACCGCUCUAACAAAUUACCAUAAAUCUAGUGGCUAAGUAAGCACAAACUCAUUACCCUAUAAUCACACAGGACAAAUGUGCAGCUGGGUACCCCUUGGGUAAACUCCAGGUAUCCAAAACUCAGGCAUCUCUCUCCAAGUGCCUGUUCAGGUCAUUAGAAGUUAGGUAUAGAAAACAAUACACCCCACCCCUACAAUUGCCAGUUGUGUAGCCAAGUCCCUCACUCUCCUGCUGGUUGUAGCCUAAGAGCUGUUGCCACCUUCCAAACGCCACCAGCGUGUGAGAUGACAUAACUGCAGAUGGCAAGGACUAAAAUGCAGACAUCUUUUGUGGGAACACCAUUUCGUCUGUCACACAGGAGGAUAGAGGAGCCGGGAGAGGCUAAUUAUCUGUCAGGCUUCCCAUCUUUCUCCCAUCCCACAGCUUUCUCUUCACUCCCUUCUAGUCCUACCGACAUUCUUUCCCACAAAGCAAGAUGGUUAAAAGAUCUUCAGUCAAGACAGAAACACAUGCCAAGUAAAGGUAGACACACCCUGCAAUUGUGGGUCGUUGUUGUGGGGUUUCUCAGGGACUGAGGCGCACUGGCUGGAUAGAGCAUUGCCCCUUGCACCAGACCUUGUCUACGGGUAUUCAAGGUGCUGUGAAAUCCCAGAAGAGAGCACGUUCACUCAGAUGUGCUUAUGCACAGUCCACACAUUUUUUAGCUCUCCAGAUAUUCUUCUUCUUAGCACUCCUAAUGCUAAAACGAAUUACUGAUAUUAACACUGCAUGUGUGAUCUAUGUUAAAACUGGAUCUACAAGAAACUUUUAAGAAGUCCACAUUUUGUUAAAGUGUAAAAUCAUACUGAGCUUUACAAGCUUUGAUUCUCAACCGACUUGCUCUCUGGCUACGUGUUUAUGAAGCAGUUUUAUCCAUCAGAGUUCUUUCUCAACUUGUACAUCCUGUAGUAGAUCCGAGUCGAAGAGUGGGGAGAGGCUCUGGGCUAGCUUGUUUGGAGCUGGUACUGCAAGAAUUAGCUGAGAGGCCUUGCUCUUUGACUCACAAUUGGAGAACGCCCUGUCAGGAUGGUGUAGCACUGGAGUAAAGGGAAGAGAAAGCUUCUACCGGAGACAGCAGUCUGGGAGGAUCUUGCAACGUCUGAUGAUCUGACCCUCUGACCCAUUUUUAGGCCUGUCUCGGUGGCCUGCUUCUGGCCUCUCAUCACAGAAGGAGAGCUUUAAAACUGCUCUCUCUCAAUCCCCACUAGUCAAGCAAUUCAAGUGGGAUGACUUGGGUGGACUCUGCACACCAGAUCUAAAACAAUAACAUCCCUCUCCCCCUGUGUAGACUCAGGCAACCAAAGAGUUUUACUUUAAACUCCAAACGCUGUUAAAAUGCAGCUAUCACAGGAAAAGAAGAGACAACUUUAUCAGUCACGCACUUAAACAGGGGAAUGUCUUAAUUUUUCUGAAGACUUGAUCCUUUCAAGAAGAAUGACAGGUAAGAGGUGUGCGGGAUAAUGUCCCUGUUUUGUUUACUUCCUUUGCUCUAAAGCUCCUUAGAAUUUUCUCUUCAUAAACAUCCUAUUAGUUAUUCAAUUUUUAAGACAACUCUUCCCUAAAAGCAUCUUGAAUGAAGGUCCUUUGAGACAAAUUUCAAGAGAUAAAUGAUGCUCUCCCCAGAGCUAAAUAGAAGCUGAUGUUAGGCAAUCAGCAACAGAAAAAAAUAAAAUAAAAUAAACCCCCUAGUUAACUUUUUCUGAGUCACUUUUCAGAAACAUAUUAGGAAAAAGAUGCAAUUUGGAUAACACAGACUGUCACAUAACAGUAUACAUGAUGACUUACGGCCAAAUAAAGUUUCUUAGAUCACUAGAUUAGUCCCAGUCUGCCCUCAGCAUCUCUUUCCAUUAUGGAUAAGGCAAAGUUACUUUUCAGAAGCUACCAAGGGAAGAUAGCUGUCACUUCUGAGGUAGCUGCUUACCUCCCACUGCAUUUCUGCCUCACAGAAGUGGUUUGCAGUUGGAAAAAGGAACUCUGUCUGUCAUUGCUUUCUUGUUUGCACUCGGCAGCUUCAUCAACCAUGAGUGAUAACUGGAGAGAGGGGGAAGAGUAAAGCAUGGGCACCAGGUUAUCAGCCCCACCCCGACCACUUGGAACACUAGAACCAAAGCGGUUCAGAUGGCGAAGGCCACGAAUUACUGUUCCCGCCAUAUCAGGAGGAAAGUGGUGUUUGAACACUCAAUGCUUCAAUGCUUCCACUUUGCAAAACAAAAGAAAAUCGACUUAUUCACACAAAGUAAUAAACUACCCCUCAUCGAGUUUCAUUUAUUGUUUAUUAUCUUAUAAUGCCUUCUUCUGGAAGAAGUUUGGGAAGUGUGCAUGGCUGCUCAGAGAGUGCAUAGCUGUGUGUACACACAGAAGUCCAAGGAGGACAUUGGGUAGCCUGUUCCAAUGCACUGUCUUAUCCCUUGAGACAAGCUCUCCGGCUGAUCCUGGUGCCAGCAAAUCCCAGAAACACUCCUGACUCCAUCCCCCAGGGCCACUCUGGGGUUACAGUGCCUACAAGACUCCGCUCUACCAUGAACCACACAACCACAAGUGCCCCACCUUGACUUCCUGUCUAUCCUCUGAGGGCUGCAUCCUAAGUUCUCAGGACUCCUGCUCUGCUGGCAACUUUGAACAAACCACCCCGGCAAGUUGAUCAUGCUUUCCAUUGAUCUUUCACCUUUCCACAACACUCUUCAGAUGGCACUGUGUUCCCACAUUGGUGUGCAUGAGAAGAGAGGAAACAUCAUGUAGAAAUGCUCAGUUCGCCCUUCCCCUACCUCAAAGCCUUAAGAAGACUUCUUGGCAAACCUCGGACUGCUAUAAAUUCU